rnacentral:rRNA from 1 species
CACGUAGUUAGCCGGUGCUUAUUCUUCAGGUACCGUCAUUAGCAAAGGAUAUUAGCCCUCACCAUUUCUUCCCUGACAAAAGAGCUUUACAACCCGAAGGCCUUCUUCACUCACGCGGCAUUGCUGGAUCAGGCUUGCGCCCAUUGUCCAAAAUUCCCCACUGCUGCCUCCCGUAGGAGUCUGGACCGUGUCUCAGUUCCAGUGUGGCUGGUCGUCCUCUCAGACCAGCUACUGAUCGUCGCCUUGGUGAGCCUUUACCUCACCAACUAGCUAAUCAGAUAUCGGCCGCUCUAAAAGCAUAAGGCCCGAAGGUCCCCUACUUUCAUCCGUGGAUCGUAUGCGGUAUUAGCGUAACUUUCGCUACGUUAUCCCCCACUUCUAGGUACGUUCCGAUAUAUUACUCACCCGUUCGCCACUCGUCAGCGGAGCAAGCUCCCUGUUACCGUUCGACUUGCAUGUGUAAAGCAUGCCGCCAGCGUUCAAUCUGAGCCAGGAUCAAA